rnacentral:rRNA from 1 species
CUACGGGAGGCAGCAGUGGGGAAUAUUGCACAAUGGGGGAAACCCUGAUGCAGCAACGCCGCGUGGAGGAUGACGCAUUUCGGUGUGUAAACUCCUUUUAUAUAGGAAGAUAAUGACGGUACUAUAUGAAUAAGCACCGGCUAACUCCGUGCCAGCAGCCGCGGUAAUACGGAGGGUGCAAGCGUUACUCGGAAUCACUGGGCGUAAAGCGCGCGCAGGCGGUCUGAUAAGUUGGAUGUGAAAGCCUACGGCUCAACCGUAGAACUGCAUCCAAAACUGUCAGACUAGAGUCUGGGAGGGGAAGAUGGAAUUAGUUGUGUAGGGGUAAAAUCCGUAGAGAUAACUAGGAAUACCAAAAGCGAAGGCGAUCUUCUGGAACAGUACUGACGCUGAGGCGCGAAAGCGUGGGGAGCAAACAGGAUUAGAUACCCCAGUAGUC